rnacentral:rRNA from 1 species
GGGUUGUGAGGUUAAGCGACUAAGCGUACACGGUGGAUGCCCUGGCAGUCAGAGGCGAUGAAGGACGUGCUAAUCUGCGAUAAGCGUCGGUAAGGUGAUAUGAACCGUUAUAACCGGCGAUUUCCGAAUGGGGAAACCCAGUGUGAUUCGUCACACUAUCAUUACGUGAAUACAUAGCGUAAUGAAGCGAACCGGGGGAACUGAAACAUCUAAGUACCCCGAGGAAAAGAAAUCAACCGAGAUUCCCCCAGUAGCGGCGAGCGAACGGGGAGCAGCCCAGAGUCUGAAUCAGCUUGUGUGUUAGUGGAACGGUCUGGAAAGUCCGACGGUACAGGGUGAUAGUCCCGUACACCAAAAUGCACAGGUUGUGAACUCGAAGAGUAGGGCGGGACACGUGGUAUCCUGUCUGAAUAUGGGGGGACCAUCCUCCAAGGCUAAAUACUCCUGACUGACCGAUAGUGAACCAGUACCGUGAGGGAAAGGCGAAAAGAACCCCGGCGAGGGGAGUGAAAAAGAACCUGAAACCGUGUACGUACAAGCAGUGGGAGCCUCUUUAUGG